GCUCAAGUUGUUCAAUCCUCCCUCCAGGAGUAUUGGAGCCACUGCACAUGACGUUUGGCACCCUGCUCUCGCUCUGCUCUCGCUCACAUGUGAGGUGAUCACCCCCAGACAGGGCCGUGUGCUUGUGGUCUGAUCCCAGUACAUCCAAUACAACCACCUCUGACCUUACUGUCAUCUCUUCACUGUAUUGAUGUGGGAUGUGCUUAGUGACCAACCUAAUCGCACAGUAUUCGACUGACCAGUACUUCUAAGUCUCCUUGGAUAACAAUGAUGUCUUCUUUGGAUGGCAGGAAGCACUCGACAGUCUCUGUGCAAAGCAUAGAACGAGACAAAUCAGCGAUAGGAGCAGGAGACCUUCUUCUGGAUGUGAGUAGAAAAGAGGGCACUCGACAGAUUGAACCCCACACAUCGUUUUGUUGCGUUCCUUCAAGAGGAUAGCCACCGCUGUGCUUAGUCCUGGGAACUGUCGCUCUCCCUUCUUCAGCUUGUUCCUCUUGGACGAGUGGGUGAUAGCACAAUCAAUAAUGUGGUGGAGAGUUGGUGCUUUGGUCUCAAGCUCAGUGACUGUUUGUCUCCAGGAAAAGCUUUCUGCUUGCUCAAUGGUCAUGGACCGGAACAGUGACACAGGUUGUGAACUCUUGCUGCACAACGAGGCACACUCAUCAUCUACUAUUCUCGAGAUACGAGACACAGCUUCGUCCCUGAGCUGAGGGUAUGAGAAAACAGCCCUACAAAUUGACUGCAGGUUCCCCCCUGUCAGUGCCUUUGCAAUCUUCUCAAGCUCUGGACGAAUGGAUACUGUACAUAUCGCCCUCUUGCUUGAUAUACCAUUGGGUUGCUGAGUAUUGGCAGUCUGGCGAGAACUCUCAACACGAGUAGCUGGAGGAACGUUGCUCAUGUCUCUCAAAGACGCACCACUCCGAUCAGUCACUAUGAUGAUCGAAAUCACUAUGUUUUAUCUUACUCUCGUCCUGGACACGGAAACAGAGCCUCCUACCAGACGCUCCAACAGUCUGCUGCUUUGCUGUUGGUCUGACUUGUUGUGUGUGUGGAGAUACUCCAACCCCACUAGUGUCCUUGGAUCUCUUUCUUGAAGCGUCUUGAAGCGUGAGUGCUCUUGGGGCUGCCGGUGACGCCUGUGAGAGGCCUGGGUAGAGAUGUCCUAUUCUUCUCAUAGCUAGCCUUGGCUAGAACUCUAAAAGACUCAGCUGAUACAAACUUCCUGUUACAAGGCCUGCAAAUGUGCUGUGAAAGACCAUCAUUUGCAAUGACUGGCACAUCUAUGACCCUGCUGAUCUGCAAGACCUGAGUCUGAGGCUAUACAUUCUCUGGAGAAUAAUGAUAUGCUUUGUUUAGUCAAAGAAGUGCUGCAAAUCCUGCACAGUGCGGUUUCUCUGGUAGCCAUAGCUGGGAAGUCUAUUUAACCACGAUUUCGUAGGAACCAUGCGGUAUAACGUAUUCUUAUUUUGUGUAUUUUCCGUUUUAUAUCUUGUUAAAUAAGAUGCACUACGG